rnacentral:tRNA from 1 species
CGCGGGUGGAGCAGCCCGGUAGUUCGUCAGGCUCAUAACCUGAAGGUCAUAGGUUCAAAUCCUAUCCCCGCAACCA